UCAUGCUCGACCUCGUAAUCAAGGCCUGGACAUGUGGCUAUAAUUGCCGGCUUUUAUGAGGACCCUAGUGCUGUUACAAAAGGAUGGAAAGCUAAUCCUGUCGAGUUUGAUUCGGUUUUUAAUCGGAGUCGGCAUACAAUUUCUUUUGGUAGCCCUGAUAUUGUUCCAAUAUUUUGUGGUGCUUUGCCGCAUAGCACUUGGGCUACAUCUCCUCACGAGUUUGAAGUCUUCGAUACUGAUGCAUCCUUUUUAGACUAAUGGUCUUUUGAUCAAUUUCAGAACCUUCUGAAUGAGUCCAAUGAAGACCCAAAGUUGAAAAGGUUACUUGAACAAGAUAAUCUUGUUGUAUUUCUGCAUCUACUUGGUUGUGAUUCAAAUGGUCAUGCAGAUCGUCUCUUUUCAUCCAUUUAUCUCAACAAUGUAAAGGUUGGUGAUCGAAUUGCUGAAC